rnacentral:snRNA from 1 species
AUCGCUUCUCAGCCUUUUGGCUAAGAUCAAGUGUAGUAUCUGUUCUUAUCAGUUCAAUAAAUAUGAAUCAUCAUCAUUAUCAUCAUCAUCAUCACCAUCAUCACCAUCUAGGAGAGUAUUGCUAAAGAAAUGCAGUGUAUCCACGUGCAUAACAUUUUAAUAAGUAGGGGGCAAAACUUU